UUGAUAGGCUAGGACUCAGUCAUGAUUUUAACAGAUUUAUAAUUCUUUGCUCUGGGCCAUGGCAUAAUAGGAAUGUAUUCUCUACUCAAUAAUAGAAGAAUCGAGCUCAAAUAUUAAAAUGAAAAAGAAGGCAUGACUCUUCUGCUUUCAGAAAGCAGUCCUCCUGUGCACAGUAUCUCAGAGAUUCAACUCAGAAGGUGACAUGACCACCAGGUUUCACUGUAGAAGAGGAAGAUGUCCCAAAUCAGAAGAAAAUACUGCUUGAAAAUCACAAUUAUUAGAUCGAUGGAAUAAAUCUACCUCACACAG